AUUUUUUUUAGUUCCCCAAAAUCCAUUACUAGACUAAAUUGUUUCUCAACUUCCUUCUCCUAAGAACAUCAACAUUUCCUUUCCCUCUUAUUUUCUCAUAUACUCGAUCCCCACUUCAAGAAUAGACACCCACCUAGUCCUAUCUAGCCCAGAAAACGUGGGCUAGAACUACAUGAGACACUACUCUUGUCGGCUCAAACCUAACACUUUCUUCCAAGCUCAAUCCUGAAACAGGCCUCACGAUCGCACACGAUAUAUAACAGGGCUCGAAAGAAAGGUUUGGUUAAGGGCAAGGGAAAUUACUUCAAUGAUGGAAGCAACUACUUGGGUUAGCAAGGGUGGUGAAAAGUUUAAAGAAAACCCAAGUAUGUAUAUGGUAUCCAUGAGUUCAAAUUCGAUGCUAAGACAUGAUAAUUGCAAGUCAGAUUCAGGUUCAAAUUGAUAGGGAAUGGUAUCAGAUAAUAACAGUGUGAUCGAGUAGAGCAUUCAAGACAUGGUGCAGUUUUACUUCAAUUUCAUUGACUACACAUCAAACAACUAGCAACGAUGAACAAAAAUGCUUACAAGGCUAUCUCAUCAUAAUCCCCAAUGCAUAUGCGACAAUCCUAUAUGAAACAUCCUAGACUCAAUCCUAAAUGUGAUGCAACUAUAUGAACACUCUGUUUUUGUGGAAUACAUUUUCAGAAAUUUUUUCAAUUUUUUUUUUUUUUUUCUAUGUCUUAGAUGAAGUUAAGACUCAAAUGAUGCAAAUAAGACUCACUAGCAAACAUGUUAAAUACUUCUUGAAUCCUCCCCCAAACUUAAACUACACAGUCCCUUGUGUAAUAGAAGUCUAAAGAAGAGUUCAAGAGACACUAAAACAAAACGAAAACAGAAAAUGGUAUAUACAAUUAUGGUUGUGUGUGGUACCUUAGUUAAAGGCACAGGAGAUGUAGUCGUCCAUCUCCUCUCUGGUGUAAUCCCAUGGAAUACUGGGAACUUGUUGUUGUUCCUCAUCCUCUGGUGCGGGAUACUCGAUCGCAGGGUUCACAGGACGUUUGGUCCGGCGGUCGAGUAUAUUGGUCUGAGAAAUGGACUAAAGUGUCGCCUUGGUGAUCGAGUGAAAACGGGCAGUUGGGAUGCCUCCAUGGUCGAGUAAACUUGGUGACCUGUAGAUGUUAACUCGGCUUGGUGGUCGAGUAAACUCAUUUAAAUGCGGAGGUUAACUCUGCUUGAUGAUCGAGUAUGUGGUGAU
rnacentral:sRNA from 1 species